GAUGAACGCUGGCGGCGUGCCUAAUACAUGCAAGUAGAACGCUGAAGGAGGAGCUUGCUCUUCUGGAUGAGUUGCGAACGGGUGAGUAACGCGUAGGUAACCUGCCUGGUAGCGGGGGAUAACUAUUGGAAACGAUAGCUAAUACCGCAUGACAACAGUUAUUGCAUGAUAACUGUUUAAAAGGGGCAACUGCUCCACUACCAGAUGGACCUGCGUUGUAUUAGCUAGUUGGUGAGGUAACGGCUCACCAAGGCGACGAUACAUAGCCGACCUGAGAGGGGGGUCGGCCCCACUGGGACUGAGACCCGGCCCAGACUCCUACGGGAGGCAGCAGUAGGGAAACUUCGGCAAUGGGCGGAAGUCUGACCGAGCAACGCCGCGGGAGUGAAGAAGGUUUUCGGAUCGUAAAGCUCUGUUGUAAGAGAAGAACGAGUGUGAGAGUGGAAAGUUCACACUGUGACGGUAUCUUACCAGAAAGGGACGGCUAACUACGUG
rnacentral:rRNA from 1 species